AUUGAACGCUGCCGGCAGGCCUAACACAUGCAAGUCGAGCGGAUGAAGGGAGCUUGCUCCUGGAUUCAGCGGCGGACGGGUGAGUAAUGCCUAGGAAUCUGCCUGGUAGUGGGGGAUAACGUCCGGAAACGGGCGCUAAUACCGCAUACGUCCUGAGGGAGAAAGUGGGGGAUCUUCGGACCUCACGCUAUCAGAUGAGCCUAGGUCGGAUUAGCUAGUUGGUGGGGUAAAGGCCUACCAAGGCGACGAUCCGUAACUGGUCUGAGAGGAUGAUCAGUCACACUGGAACUGAGACACGGUCCAGACUCCUACGGGAGGCAGCAGUGGGGAAUAUUGGACAAUGGGCGAAAGCCUGAUCCAGCCAUGCCGCGUGUGUGAAGAAGGUCUUCGGAUUGUAAAGCACUUUAAGUUGGGAGGAAGGGCAGUAAGUUAAUACCUUGCUGUUUUGACGUUACCAACAGAAUAAGCACCGGCUAACUUCGUG
rnacentral:rRNA from 1 species